rnacentral:lncRNA from 1 species
UGCUGAACAACAGCGCAUGCGCCGCUCUCCGGCUGCAGUACUGCUUUUUGACCAGCCGAGGGCAGCAAGGAGCGCUGCUUGUUGCAGUAUUGGUAUUUCAUCGCUUGAGGGGCACGAUGGAGCCCAUGCGCCCCGGGACGCACGCAUUCCUCGACUGGCUGCACUGUUGGGGGUGUCAUCACCCGAGGGCAGCACUGAGCACAGCUGGGUCAAUGUGCAUACGUCAAUCUCCUUGCUGCAGCACUGGUCUGUAGUCUCCUGAGGGCAGCGGAGAGCAGACCGGUGCUGCUGCGCAUGCGCGAGCAAACCGGUGCUAUACUGACUAUACCGACUUUUCACCACCCGAGGGCAGCAGUGAGCAACUCGUAGCGGAUGCGCAUGCGUGACUCCGCUGGCUGCCGUACCGAACUGCUCCCACCCGAGGGCAGCAGGAGUUGCUCUGCCGCAGUGCGCAUGCGCAACCCCGCUAGCGAGGGUCCCUCCCCGCACUGCCGGCCCCUCCAGUUGGGCUGCCUCGACCCUUUCGUACCCUCCCCGCUGGGCACCUCUGUCCUGCAGGAGGAGACGGUGGUGGGGACCUCACGAGCCCCCCGUGUCCCGGCGGCGGUGCAGCACCGGGGCACAGCAGCACCGAGGGGUGGCGGCAGUGGCCGGGGUGCCCCGGCGAGCAGGCGGAGCAGUCCUCGGGCGGCGGGGUGCACCGGGUGGCUGCAGUCAAGGCCCAGGGCAAGGUCCUCACCCGGGGUGGGCCUCGUCCUCAUUGGUUUAUGGCAAGCGUGCUUACAGCCGCUUGUGUCUGGUUGGGGAAAACAGCCCUUGUUCCAGCUCUGCUCCUGACUCCUUUCCAGUAACUCCCAUUGCGGUCUGCUGUUACCAGAAAAGUGAUGGAUACACUGCUAUAAGAACUGCAACCCUCUCACUCAGGAUUGAUGGGAAGGAUCCUUUAUUUCCUUUAUUAAAGCUUUACAGUUUUAACCUUUCUUCUGUCAGCUUCUUAUUUCCCCAGUUUACAGUACCUGUAUAUCGAUCCUGGGUGUUAGAGAAGGGAAUUGUAGCCAACUUUGCCUCAGCAGAGCAGAAGUCUGAUUCUUGCUUAGCCUAAGUGUCUAAAGUAGGUGAAACCUGCAGGCCGCAGGACUGAACUGUAACCCAAAGAACGUUGCUGACGACGCCACUGCAACAUCAGCUAGAACCAGCCCUCAAGGAUACAGACCAGAAUGAACAGAGAUAACGGCUGACCUUCGGAUAAGAUAGGGUACCGUAGAGCAGGAACAUAGCAACCAUCUGGCAACCAUCCUGGGAUGUAGACAUGAACCAGUCAGAGGGAGAAAGAGACCACUGAAGAAGAUUGGAAGAGACUUUCACUGGCAGGUGGGGAAAUAAAACUGUAAAAAGGAAAAUUACUUAAGAAUUC